rnacentral:rRNA from 1 species
CGGUGGUGAUGCGCUUGGGGGACACACCCGUUCCCAUCCCGAACACGAUGGUUAAGACCCAAGCGGCCGAUGAUACUAUGCUGGAGACGGCAUGGGAAAAGCAGGUGGCUGCCGGAUU